GCCAACGACCACACUACACGUUGAAUACACCGCUUCUCGUCUGAUCAGCGAAGUUAAGCAACGUUGGGUCCGGUUAGUACUUGAAUGGGUGACCGCCUGGGAACACCAGAUGUUGUUGGCA